AUUGAACGCUGGCGGCAGGCCUAAUACAUGCAAGUCGAGCGAGCGGCGGACGGGUGAGUAAUGUCUGGGAAACUGCCUGAUGGAGGGGGAUAACUACUGGAAACGGUAGCUAAUACCGCAUACCAUCAGAUUUGCCCAGAUGUGAUUGGCUUGUAGGUGGGGUAAUGGCUCACCUUGGCGACGACCCCUAGCUGUUCUGAGAGGAUGACCGGCCAAACUGGACCUGAGAAACGGUCCAGACUCCUACGGAAGGAAGAAGUGGGGAAUAUUGCACAAUGGGCGCAAGCCGGAUGCGGCCAUGCCGCGUGUGGGAAGAGGGCCUUCGGGUUGUAAAGCACUUUCAGCGAGAAGGCGUUACUCGCCGAAGAAGCACCGGCUAACUCCGUGCCAGCAGCCGCGGUAAUUC
rnacentral:rRNA from 1 species